UACGUAGGGACCGAGCGUUGUCCGGAAUCAUUGGGCGUAAAGAGCGUGUAGGCGGCCUUUUAAGUCCUGCGUGAAAUCCUGCGGCUCAACCGCAGACGGUCGUGGGAAACUGGAAGGCUAGAGUGCGGGAGAGGAGAGUGGAAUUCCCGGUGUAGCGGUGAAAUGCGCAGAUAUCGAGAAGAACACCCGUGGCGAAGGCGGCUCUCUGGGACGGUACUGACGCUGAGACGCGAAAGCGUGGGGAGCGAGCAGG
rnacentral:rRNA from 1 species